CGUCCACCUCGGCCGGUAGUGCAAAUGGACAUACCAGAGUCGCAGAUUUGCGAGAAGGCACUGGCUAAAGGCUGACUUGACAUUGGCGAUUGUCUAACAUUCGUGCCAUAAGUAUUUGGAUGUCAUCUUUCGUGUACCAAUUCCUUCCAACCAAUUCAUCGAAGCAUUGGUACAUUUACAUCUGCUGACCGGAAUCGAAGCGGUGGUUCUCUAUUUCAGCAUCUUUAGGUUUUCGGAUGGCAUCCAUAGCAACAAAACUACCAAGGAUGUAUUCUAAGCUGCUAAUCCAGAACUUCUUGUUGGUAUAUUACAUCGAUGACAUCUUGAGAGAUGAGGUAAAAUACCGCCUUGUUUGUAAACUGUUGGAAUGGAUCUACCAGCUACUGCCGAAAAAAGCAACCAAGUAGAUAUUUAAGGUACCUGCUAGUGAUUCGAGCUAUUGAACAACAUACCGACAUUCCGCUUAAAAUAUUACUGCAGAACUCGCUAGACUGCUUAAGUGAAAUAUGCAGUGCUGGAUGAUGGCGGUGAUGAAGUUGAAGUACUUACAGGAAGG